rnacentral:rRNA from 1 species
CCCUUAGAUGUUCUGGGCUGCACGCGCGCUACACUGAAGCGUUCAACGAGUAUUCACCUUGCCCGGGAGGGUUGGGUAAUCUUUUGAAAACGCUUCGUGAUGGGGAUAGAUUAUUGCAAUUAUUAAUCUUCAACGAGGAAUUCCUAGUAAACGCAAGUCAUCAGCUUGCAUUGAUUACGUCCCUGCCCUUUGUACACACCGCCCGUCGCACCUACCGAUUGAAUGGUCCGGUGAAAUCUCGGGACGGCGGCUUGGUCGCUUGCGUCCGACUGCUGAAACUUGAUUAAACCAUAUCAUUUAGAGGAAGGUGAANUCGUANCA